GACGAACGCUGGCGGCGGGCUUAACACAUGCAAGUCGAACGGAAAGGCCAUGCUGUUGUCGGUUGCUCGAGUGGCGAACGGGUGAGUAACACGUGAGUAACCUGCCCUUGGCUUUGGGGUAACUUCAGGUAACUGGGGCUAAUACCGCCUCGGAGCGCCUGCUGCAUGGUGGGGGGGGGACAGUUGCGGCGGUUGGGGAUGGACGCGCGGGUUAUCAGCUCUUUGGUGGGGUAGUGGCUUACCAAGGCUGUGCGGGGCAGGCGGCCUGUGAGGGUGGCCGGCCACAUUGGGACUGAGAUACGGAGCAGACGGGUACGGGAGGCAGCAGUGGGGAAUAUUGUACAAUGGGCGGAAGCGUAAGGAGGAGACGCUGCGGGCGGGAUGACGGUCUUGGGGGUGUAAACCGCGUUAGCUUGUGACGAAGCGUGAGUGACGGUAAUGGGUGAAGAAGCACCGGCUAACUACGUG
rnacentral:rRNA from 1 species